rnacentral:rRNA from 1 species
CGCUAGCUACAGGCUUAACACAUGCAAGUCGCCUUGAAGCAUGGUCUUAGCUUGCUAAGGCCGAUGGCGACCGGCGCACGGGUGAGUAACACGUAUCCAACCUGCCGUCUACUCUUGGACAGCCUUCUGAAAGGAAGAUUAAUACAAGAUGGCAUCAUGAGUCCGCAUGUUCACAUGAUUAAAGGUAUUCCGGUAGACGAUGGGGAUGCGUUCCAUUAGAUAGUAGGCGGGGUAACGGCCCACCUAGUCUUCGAUGGAUAGGGGUUCUGAGAGGAAGGUCCCCCACAUUGGAACUGAGACACGGUCCAAACUCCUACGGGAGGCAGCAGUGAGGAAUAUUGGUCAAUGGGCGAGAGCCUGAACCAGCCAAGUAGCGUGAAGGAUGACUGCCCUAUGGGUUGUAAACUUCUUUUAUAAAGGAAUAAAGUCGGGUAUGGAUACCCGUUUGCAUGUACUUUAUGAAUAAGGAUCGGCUAACUCCGUGCCAGCAGCCGCGGUAAUACGGAGGAUCCGAGCGUUAUCCGGAUUUAUUAGGUUUAAAGGGAGCGUAGAUGGAUGUUUAAGUCAGUUGUGAAAGUUUGCGGCUCAACCGUAAAAUUGCAGUUGAUACUGGAUAUCUUGAGUGCAGUUGAGGCAGGCGGAAUUCGUGGUGUAGCGGUGAAAUGCUUAGAUAUCACGAAGAACUCCGAUUGCGAAGGCAGCCUGCUAAGCUGCAACUGACAUUGAGGCUCGAAAGUGUGGGGUAUCAAACAGGAUUAGAUACCCUGGUAGUCCACACGGUAAACGAUGAAUACUCGCUGUUUGCGAUAUACUGCAAGCGGCCAAGCGAAAGCGUUAAGUAUUCCACCUGGGGAGUACGCCGGCAACGGUGAAACUCAAAGGAAUUGACGGGGGCCCGCACAAGCGGAGGAACAUGUGGUUUAAUUCGAUGAUACGCGAGGAACCUUACCCGGGCUUAAAUUGCAGAUGAAUUACAGUGAAAGCCGUAAGCCGCAAGGCAUCUGUGAAGGUGCUGCAUGGUUGUCGUCAGCUCGUGCCGUGAGGUGUCGGCUUAAGUGCCAUAACGAGCGCAACCCUUGUUGUCAGUUACUAACAGGUUCCGCUGAGGACUCUGACAAGACUGCCAUCGUAAGAUGUGAGGAAGGUGGGGAUGACGUCAAAUCAGCACGGCCCUUACGUCCGGGGCUACACACGUGUUACAAUGGGGGGUACAGAGGGCCGCUACCACGCGAGUGGAUGCCAAUCCCCAAAACCUCUCUCAGUUCGGACUGGAGUCUGCAACCCGACUCCACGAAGCUGGAUUCGCUAGUAAUCGCGCAUCAGCCACGGCGCGGUGAAUACGUUCCCGGGCCUUGUACACACCGCCCGUCAAGCCAUGGGAGCCGGGGGUACAAGGAGUGCGUAACCGCGAGGAG